rnacentral:snRNA from 1 species
AACCAAUUACCUACGUAUUACUAA